GACGAACGCUGGCGGCGUGCUUAACACAUGCAAGUCGAACGAAGAGCGAUGGACGCUUGCUUCUAUCAAUCUUAGUGGCGAACGGGUGAGUAACGCGUAAUCAACCUGCCCUUCAGAGGGGGACAACAGUUGGAAACGACUGCUAAUACCGCAUACGAUCUAAUCUCGGCAUCGAGGAUAGAUGAAAGGUGGCCUCUACAUGUAAGCUAUCACUGAAGGAGGGGAUUGCGUCUGAUUAGCUAGUUGGAGGGGUAACGGCCCACCAAGGCGAUGAUCAGUGGCCGGUCUGAGAGGAUGAACGGCCACAUUGGGACUGAGACACGGCCCAGACUCCUACGGGAGGCAGCAGUGGGGAAUCUUCCGCAAUGGACGAAAGUCUGACGGAGCAACGCCGCGUGAGUGAUGACGGCCUUCGGGUUGUAAAGCUCUGUUAAUCGGGACGAAAGGCCUUCUUGCGAAUAGUGAGAAGGAUUGACGGUACCGGAAUAGAAAGCCACGGCUAACUACGUG
rnacentral:rRNA from 1 species